rnacentral:rRNA from 2 species
UGCAAGUCGAACGAUGAUGCCCAGCUUGCUGGGCGGAUUAGUGGCGAACGGGUGAGUAAUACGUGAGUAACCUGCCCUUGACUCUGGGAUAAGCCUGGGAAACUGGGUCUAAUACUGGAUACUACUUCUUACCGCAUGGUGGGUGGUGGAAAGGGUUUUACUGGUUUUGGAUGGGCUCACGGCCUAUCAGCUUGUUGGUGGGGUAAUGGCUCACCAAGGCGACGACGGGUAGCCGGCCUGAGAGGGUGACCGGCCACACUGGGACUGAGACACGGCCCAGACUCCUACGGGAGGCAGCAGUGGGGAAUAUUGCACAAUGGGCGGAAGCCUGAUGCAGCGACGCCGCGUGAGGGAUGACGGCCUUCGGGUUGUAAACCUCUUUCAGUAGGGAAGAAGCGAGAGUGACGGUACCUGCAGAAGAAGCGCCGGCUAACUACGUGCCAGCAGCCGCGGUAAUACGUAGGGCGCAAGCGUUGUCCGGAAUUAUUGGGCGUAAAGAGCUCGUAGGCGGUUUGUCGCGUCUGCUGUGAAAGCCCGGGGCUCAACCCCGGGUCUGCAGUGGGUACGGGCAGACUAGAGUGCAGUAGGGGAGACUGGAAUUCCUGGUGUAGCGGUGAAAUGCGCAGAUAUCAGGAGGAACACCGAUGGCGAAGGCAGGUCUCUGGGCUGUUACUGACGCUGAGGAGCGAAAGCAUGGGGAGCGAACAGGAUUAGAUACCCUGGUAGUCCAUGCCGUAAACGUUGGGCACUAGGUGUGGGGGACAUUCCACGUUUUCCGCGCCGUAGCUAACGCAUUAAGUGCCCCGCCUGGGGAGUACGGCCGCAAGGCUAAAACUCAAAGGAAUUGACGGGGGCCCGCACAAGCGGCGGAGCAUGCGGAUUAAUUCGAUGCAACGCGAAGAACCUUACCAAGGCUUGACAUUCACCGGACCGCCCCAGAGAUGGGGUUUCCCUUCGGGGCUGGUGGACAGGUGGUGCAUGGUUGUCGUCAGCUCGUGU